UUUAAUGUGCUUAAGAUUCACCAAAGGAAUGAUACAGAGAAGAUUAGCAUGGCCCCUGCACAAGGAUGACACAAAUUCGAGAAGCAUUCCAAAAAUAA
rnacentral:snRNA from 2 species